UACGAGGGGAGCAAGCGUUGUUCGGAUUUACUGGGCGUAAAGGGCGCGUAGGCGGCCACGACAAGUCACUUGUGAAAUCUCCGGGCUUAACUCGGAACGGUCAAGUGAUACUGUCGGGCUAGAGUGCAGAAGGGGCAACUGGAAUUCUCGGUGUAGCGGUGAAAUGCGUAGAUAUCGAGAGGAACACCUGCGGCGAAGGCGGGUUGCUGGGCUGACACUGACGCUGAUGCGCGAAAGCCAGGGGAGCGAACGGG
rnacentral:rRNA from 1 species